UACGAAGGGGGCUAGCGUUGCUCGGAAUCACUGGGCGUAAAGCGCACGUAGGCGGAUUGUUAAGUCAGGGGUGAAAUCCUGGAGCUCAACUCCAGAACUGCCUUUGAUACUGGCGAUCUUGAGUCCGGGAGAGGUGAGUGGAACUGCGAGUGUAGAGGUGAAAUUCGUAGAUAUUCGCAAGAACACCAGUGGCGGAAGGCG
rnacentral:rRNA from 1 species